rnacentral:rRNA from 1 species
GAGUGAAGCGGGAAAAGCUCAAAUUUAAAAUCUGGCAGACUUUGUCUGUCCGAGUUGUAACCUAGAGAAGUGUAACCUGUGCUGGACCAUGUACAAGUCUCCUGGAAUGGAGCAUCACAGAGGGUGAGAAUCCCGUCUUUGACAUGGACUACCAGUACACUGUGGUUGCACACUCAACGAGUCGAGUUGUUUGGGAAUGCAGCUCUAAAUGGGUGGUAAAUUCCAUCUAAAGCUAAAUAUUGGCGAGAGACCGAUAGUGAACAAGUACCGUGAGGGAAAGAUGAAAAGAACUUUGGAAAGAGAGUUAAACAGUAUGUGAAAUUGUUGAAAGGGAAACGCUUGAAGUCAGCUGUGUUGGCUGGGGAUCAAGCCAGCUUAUUUGCUGGGUGUACUUCCUGGUUGACGGGUCAACAUCAGUUUUGACCAUCAGAGAAAGGCAAAGGGAAUGUGGCACCUUUUAGGUGUGUUAUAGCCCUUUGUUGUAUGUGGUGGUUGGGACUGAGGACAGCAGCGUGCCAUAUGGCCGGGUUUAGACCACGUUCACGCUUUGGAUGUUGGCAUAAUGGCUUUAAGCGACCCGUCUUGAAACACGGACCAAGGAGUCUAACAUGCAUGCAAGUGUUUGGGUGGAAAACCCGAGCGCGUAAUGAAAGUGAAAGUUGAGAUCCCUGUCACGGGGGAGCAUCGACGCCCGGACCAGAACUUUUGGGACGGAUCUGCGGUAGAGCAAGCAUGUUGGGACCCGAAAGAUGGUGAACUAUGCCUGAAUAGGGUGAAGCCAGAGGAAACUCUGGUGGAGGCUCGUAGCGAUUCUGACGUGCAAAUCGAUCGUCGAAUUUGGGUAU